AGUUUGUCCCUCUUUACCUACCAUAACUACGUACAAGUAUGGCGGUCUGAGAGUUGUGGCAGCUAUGUUUUGAUGGUGUAAAUAAUAUUUUUUCCCAUUUUCUAAACAUACUGUCCUUGGAAUUCGCAUUUAUCUUAAAAUAUAACUACAUUCCGACCACGACCAUCAUGGCUUCCACCUGUGACUCGCUCAUUGAAGACAUUGAAGACAUGGUGUCUUUUAGUGACCCCACUCCUCAGGAGAGACAGUCUAUUAGAAAGAGUAUCAUACCAAGGUCCAGGAAGAAAAAAGAGCUGAUGUGCAAUGAGGAGCUCCAAGCUGACAGUUUGAUCCCUGGCACCCAAAAGAUCUGGAUGAAAACAUGGGGCUGCAGUCACAACAGCUCAGAUGGAGAGUACAUGGCUGGACAGCUAGCUGCCAGUGGAUACAAGAUGACUGAUGACCCAACAGAAGCAGACCUGUGGUUGCUCAACAGCUGUACUGUGAAAAACCCUGCAGAGGACCACUUCAGAAACUCAAUCAAAAAAGCCCAGGAACAGGAGAAAAAGGUGGUAGUAGCAGGAUGUGUUCCCCAGGCCCAGCCACGGAUGGACUACCUCAAAGGACUCAGCAUCAUUGGGGUCCAGCAGAUUGAUCGAGUGGUGGAAGUAGUGGACGAGGCUGUAAAAGGCCACUCAGUUCGUCUCUUGGGUCAGAAGAAAGAUGGAGGCCGGAGGCUCGGAGGAGCUAGACUGGACCUGCCCAAGAUCAGGAGGAAUCCUCUCAUUGAAAUCAUCUCCAUUAACACUGGGUGUCUGAAUGCAUGUACCUACUGUAAGACAAAGCACGCCAGAGGAGACCUUGCCAGUUAUCCCAUCGAGGAGCUAGUGGAGAGAGCCAGGCAGUCUUUCCAGGAGGGAGUGUGUGAGAUCUGGCUGACCAGUGAAGACACAGGAGCUUAUGGAAGAGAUAUAGGGACAGACCUACCCACAUUGCUGUGGAGACUGGUGGAGGAGAUUCCUGAGGGAGCCAUGCUGAGGCUGGGUAUGACCAACCCACCAUAUAUCCUUGAACACCUAGAGGAGAUGGCUAAGAUAUUGAACCAUCCACGGGUCUAUGCCUUCCUUCAUGUUCCUGUGCAGUCAGCCUCAGACAGUGUACUGAUGGACAUGAAGAGAGAGUAUUGCAUUGAUGACUUCAAAAGAGUUGUGGACUUCCUCAAAGAAAGGGUCCCAGGUGUAACCAUUGCUACCGAUAUAAUCUGCGGUUUUCCUGGUGAGACAGAGGAAGACUUCCAAGAGACAAUAGAUUUGGUGAAAUGCUACAGAUUCCCCAGUCUUUUCAUCAACCAGUUCUACCCCAGGCCUGGUACACCUGCUGCCAAGAUGGAGCAAGUACCAGCACAUGUGAAGAAGCAGAGGACUAAAGAGCUGUCCCAACUCUUCCACUCUUACAACCCCUAUGACCACAAGGUAGGGGAGAGACAACAUGUGUUGGUGACAGAAGAGUCUUUCGAUGCCCAAUAUUACGUGUCUCACAACAAGUUCUACGAACAGGUGCUGGUACCUAAGAGGGCUGAGUUCAAAGGGAAGAUGAUCGAGGUGGACAUCUAUGAGGCAGGAAAACACUUCAUGAGAGGCCAGCCAGUUGAAGAUAGUAAGCCGUUCACUCCCUCCAUUGCUGCACCACUUCAGAAAGGGGAGGUGUCUGGCCUGAUGCAGGGAGUGUGGGAGCAGUGAGGUCUGGGAGAUCACGACCUUAAUUCUCUGCAAGACAGACGGUUUAAUUAACACUGGAGGAAUCCUCCCUGGCUCCAGACCUCUACAAUGGGAACAUUCAGGGGAAUUAGAUUGCCAAGGCCCCCUUCUUUGUAGUCCACGUUGCGAAUGGACCACCUCACAGGGAUUUUCCCCUUCACCAGGUGUGGCAGAAUGAGAGUGAGAGGGGAAAAUCACCUGGUCUAGACAGGACUGUCAGGGUCUGCCUGAAAACUUCUGGACUGUCAUGGCUGGGGAGAGGAUGAAAUGAACAAAAGAAAGGACAAUGGAAACAGAACAAAAAACAUGUGGUGUGAAAAAAAGAAGGAAUCUGUAAAUAAACAUAAAGAAAAGUGCUUUGUAUCUCUACAGAUUGCAUUUCCACAAGAACACAGGAACAGUUUGGCUCCCAGUAGGCAGUAGCAGGAGUUAUGAACCUCUACUGCUUGUUUCUUCGUCUUGUGCAUGUUGUUUACAUUGGUCGCACUGGGUUUCUUCCAGAUUCCCAUGUGCUGUUUCUUUCUGUUUUUCUUUCUUUCUUUUUUUUUCCCCAAAUAAGUCCAGCGGAUACACAUCAAUGCAGAAGUAUCAGUUCAGGCUGGUUCUUUUGAAUAUACAAAAAUUAAUGUCAGAUCCAAGUACUGGGAAAACAGUGCAAAGAGGGGAUACACACUCACUGGCCAGACGGUUAAUGUGAGAUACUUCAAGCAGAGUUUAGCUUUCUGUGUCUUAUACAAUACAAGAAAAGCAGAGGCAGCUCAAUUUAGUGGCUGCUAGGUUUUGAAUUUACAAUCCUGCAUCUUUGAAAUUAUAAUUUAUAAUGUACUUUACUAAGACUUACUUACUAAAACAGCAAAUAAAUUUUAAGAAAAACACAAUGCCUCCAAAUUCAGAUUUUUUUUUAGGAUAGAAUGACUUAUAUAAGAUAGGAAAAUUUAUUCUGGACAUGAGGAAAAUUUUUUUUAUGAAUGAUUUGUAUUUGUAAAGCUUACUGAAUUUUCUGUACUUAUUCAAUUCAUCCUCCUAAUGCUUGUAAUGCAAUAUCUGCUUGAGCAAUUAAAGCAUACUUAAUGUUUUUUAUGGCUAUACCAGGAGCCAACCCUCCCAUAAAAAUGGUGCAAUAGGUUGUUGUGCAAGCUGCUUAUUACAAUCCAUAGUUUCAUUUUAUUGUUAAGUGACCUCUUGCCCCAAAAUAAAAUGUUAAUGUUUGAGUGACAAAGCUCUGUAGUGGCUGUAGUAAUAAUGAAAGGAGUAAAGAAGGAAUUAAGGUGAUGUCAUUAUAUAGUAAAUCCACAUACAGAGAUGGUUGGGGUGGAGGGACAAAACAUCAGAUUUUGAGAAGCCACUAUUCAUUUUUCCAUUUCCAACUAAGAGUUGAUGUUGCUUAAUUUAACUAUGACCAUGAUCAUAUAACCUUAACCACAUGUUUAUUAUUGUAACCAUGACAACAAAGUUACUUAUUUUAACCAUAACCAUGCUCUUUCCUAACUAAGCCUAACUAAAUUAUUUUAUGCCUAAAUCUAACCAAGUGUUUACCAUAGCACUGUCAUGAAAGGCUUAGUUAGUUGAGGAUUUGGUAGUUACCCACAGGCAGUUUGUGCAAGGGGUGGCACGGCAGCAGAAUGAUACUAGGGGAAUUUGGGAUGCUGAAAACAAACUGGUUCCAGUGUUUUAGAUGAGUUGUAAGGUGAGCUACUCCCUUACCCAAAGCAUUGCAGCAGUAGUAGAAGCAAUGCAAAGAUGCAGGUAUCUACCAACUCUCUGAUCAAAAACAGACUUGUCAGAGAAGCAUCAGAGCACAGUUUUAGUUAAAUAUUUCUUAUUGUUAUUAUUUUCCCCCUCAAAGACAUUUUUUAUAAGCUGCAGCACAUUGAUUAUUAUGACAUGUGCAAACUCUAAAAUCUUACACAUUACUCUCAAGCUCUCACAUUCCCCCACCCACCCCCCACCCUCUGUCUCUCCUUCUGUCUGUUCCUGUGUGACAGAGUCAGUAACACCACAGCAGGAGGUGAAAGAGGGAGAGCUGGAGGCAGGAAGAGGGAGGUGGAGGGAGGGAGAAGGUGCAAAAGUGCAGCACAGAAUUACACUAGACAGCAGAAGAGAGCAAUGCAGAAACAAGUGACGCCGCAAAAAGGAGACAAAGGGAAAUAUUUUUUUUGUCUGAAUGUGUGACAGGGUUUGAGUCAAUCCCAAAUAACUGAAUGCAUGUGUGUGAGUCAUUGUGCAAAAAUUGUGUGUCUGGGCUUAUUUGUGUGUGCACACUGGGUGGGGUGCCAGGCAGCAGCAGCUGGGAAGGCCUUCCUCUGUUCUCCUGUCAUCAAUAAAUGAUCAUAGUGGGCCAUCUGGAGAGAGGGAACCACCAACCACCAGGACCUGGCACUGAACGAAAGACAGAGAGGAAGAGAGAAUGUGAAGAUAGACGGAGGGAAAAGCAGGAGAGAGAGGGAGAUGGGACAAAAAGUAAGAGAAGGGGGAGGAAAGAAUCUAUAGGAGAUGGAAGGUACCUAAGCAGAAAGGUGAGUAGAGAGAAGGUGAAAAGACACUAAAAGAGAGCAUGCAAGGGCUUUCUAGGUCCUGUAAUCCAUCAAAAAAAAAAAAAAAAAAAAACCCUUGGAAUUUGUCUUAAAUUGGUUUGGUUUGCCCUAACUAACUGAUUAACUACACACACUCGUCUCUGAAUGUAAGGUGGGAGUGAUUCUGAAAGUGUUUAGGUGAAUAUAAGGUAACAAAUUGGUCCAUCCUACAAAGACAUUAAAGAAAGCAGUUUAGGGCAGUUUAAAGCAAAGAACCUAAAACAAAGACGAAGAAAAAUAGAGACGUAAAACUGCGAAGAGAGAGAGAGAGAGAGAGAGAGACAGGAAAUGCAGAGAAGAAGACAGGCAAGGGAUGUCGUGAGAUGUCAGGAAGUGCUUAGGGCACUCUCCUGAUGUUGACCCUAAAGGCGGACAGACAUACAAACACACACACACACACACACAAAUUUGUGCAGCUAUCCUUGUUAGGACACUGCGCUGAAUUCCAUUCAUUGUGGACAGCCUAACACAAACCCUAACCCCAACCUUUACCUAACCUCAAUUCACACCUUACCCCUAACCUUUAACCAGGACCUCAGAAAUUAUAUUUUGCCUCAUUAGGACUGGGAUUUGGUCCUCAUGAUGACUACUGUUCCCUACAAGGUCUGUGUUUUUAUACAAGAAAAAGGUUCCAAAGAAGUAACACAAAUGCACACACAUAUACACACAAACACAAACAUACAGACAAUACUGUUAUUUUGAUUUGUCUCCUUUCCAGAGCUAAAAAAAAACACACAUAAAACGUAAUGACAGUUUGAAGUGUAAUCACUUACAUUACCAAUUUACAGAUUUUCUGUGGAGCUAUAUUUAUUUAAUUCACUUAGUGAGUGCCUUCACACUACACCCACAAUUGAGCUUAUUUCUUGUUGAAAGCACAGGCAUGGCAUAUGACUGUAAGCUGAGUGGAGGAAGCUAAGUUUCUGAAUUUAUCUGGUAUCCCUCCAAUCCCAGACAGACGAAAUAUGUAAGAAUUAAAUUCUCGCCAAAACCAAAGGGAGUUUUAUGGAGCUGUAGAAUAUCUAUUUGAUAUUUAAUACCCAUAUAUGUAUCCAGUCAUUUUAUUCAUCCAUUCAUAAAUUUUCCAUAUUGACUUAUUCCUAUUCAGGGUCACAGGCAGACUCUUGGCUAUUUGAGAAUAUACUGAGCAGAAGGCAAGGAGACAAAUUCAUGCACAUUCACACCUGUAGGCAAUUUGCAGCCUUCAGUUCACCUGACCUGCAUUUUUGUAGAUAGUGGGAGGACCCUUUUUAUGUUUCUUUGUGAACAUAAAAAUUCUCAACAUAUCGCUACAGCCAAUAAUCAUUCUCCUCUCACUCGACAUGCAUAAGCACCUCACUGUCUUGUUACAUCCUAGAGUCAUAUUUACCGGUUUAAAUUUUUUAAAUGAGUGGCUUACAUAUUGAUAAGUGUCAUUGAAUGACAUAAGUUCUAUUUUGUAUAUUGUACACCUUUAAACGGUUUUCACUGCAGACUCUACAUUCAGUUGUGACAUAUAGAUGGCUAAUAUAACGACAGGUCCAAAGAGAUUGACGUGUCAUAUUAUCAUGUAUAGAACACACAAAUAUGUGCUUGCAUUGUGUAUGCCUUCAUGUGUAUGAGUGUGCAUGUGAUUAAAAUUGUCUGUGUGUUGUCUCCUUGAGAGGUGUCUACAAUGCAUGUAUAAGGUAAUGUCCUCAAAAUUCCUGCAAGUGGCUCAAAAUUGUUAGUUCAGUUAAAUAACAUUUAUGUUACUUUAUCCACUGAUUAUUUUUUCUGGGAACUGGCCAAAUGAAGAUGCACAGGGUCUCACUGCAGUUGGUCUGACCUUCUUACAUCCACCACCCUCCAAUAUAUAAUGAUGGUAAACAAGCCUUCAUAUGUACUGUGUGUCUCACCUUACCAUUAUGUUUCACACAAUUCAAGCAAAACAGAGAUGUUACCAUUCUCUUUGCCAUAAAUUUCUUUGGAAAUCUACUAGUUAACACCAACUCUAAAGAUGACAGAAAUAUGGAACCUGCUACAUCAAAUUAUACAAUUUCUAGGUGUUAGAGAGAAUUAUUAAUCAAGGAAUAGGGGGAGUAGUUUACUAUCUUUCAGCUCCACCAGUAGCACUAAAUACUGUAACAUGUGUCUAAUGCAAGGACACCAUGUGGACUGCCCUUCAAUGAAAUGUUUUGACAGGCACUAGGGCAUUCACUGUCUCUCUCAACAGAAAGGCUUCAUCCAGUCUCCAUGGCAACUGAGGCAGAUUUAUUACAUUUAUUACAUUUUUGGGGGGUUCUGUACUUUAGCGUAUGCUAGAGAAACAAUAUACACUGCAGCUCAGACAGUAGAUUUACAUCAAAGUCACAUGUCACAAACUAAAAAGCAGAACCGUGGUUAACCAUUAUCAAUCUUGUAGAUUUUCUGAAGCAAAACUGUGCUGAUCAUAACACUUUUCUCAGAAUGUAAAUAUGUGGCUAUUGGAUGUAUUCAGCUUCAUUUAACAAAUUAUUAAAGUCAUAAAUCAAUUUGUAUUCUAUAUUAAUAUCAUAUUGUACUGUAUAUUCUAUUACUCAUUACUGUGUUAUUUUAUCUCUUUCAUCUGCACAUUGUAUUUUGUAAUAUCAUAUAAAUAAACUUGGCCAGGCAAAUUAUUGUGCUUUAAUACUAAUGUGUGGAUAUUUGUUCCCUACAUUGUCAUUUUAACAUAUUAAUUUUACAGUGGGCUAUGUCUUACCCUGGAGUUAAGACACUAAAUUAGGAUUUCAUAUUAAACAUCCCAGAGCCGUACUUACCAACAAACUACUCCCUCAGAAUGUGUUUGCGUGCUUGUAUGUGUACUGCCUAAAUGCAGCCAUAAUUUGAAUAUGCAUGGUCAUUUCAGAUUUAA